UACGAACUGUGCAAACGUUAUUCGGAAUCACUGGGCUUAAAGGGUGCGUAGGCGGCUUGUUAAGUAGGGUGUGAAAUCCCCCGGCUCAACCGGGGAAUUGCGCCCUAAACUGGCGAGCUGGAGUGAGAUAGGGGUGUGUGGAACUUCCGGUGGAGCGGUGAAAUGCGUAGAUAUCUGGAGGAACACCGGUGGCGAAGGCGGCAUCCUGGACCAACACUGACACUGAGGAGCGAAAGCCAGGGGAGCAAACGGG
rnacentral:rRNA from 1 species